rnacentral:tRNA from 1 species
GGGCCGUUAGCUCAGUCGGUAGAGCAUCGGACUUUUAAUCCGCUGGUCGCAGGUUCGAAUCCUGCACGGCCCACCA